AGGGUGCACAGGUAUUUAAACUGAAACAACGACCGACACCGGACCUGCAAUACUAAAUGAAAACCUGACCGUAAAUAAAAGAUGCUUCCAUUCAUGGCAGAGAUUUGGAUCAUUUGAAGCUGUCUGGCUAAUCCAUUGAGCUGACAUGGGAGGCGAUGGGAUACAGAGGAAGUUCCCUCCUUUGUCACCCAUUUAGAUACCAUAGUCUCUUUUAACCAUGACUUUUACCACCAACAGUAAGAGUUAAAUGACCAAGACUGAAGCAGGUGCUAAGACUAGCCAUUCCAGCAAGAUGCCAGCUGAAUGUUGUGGCUGACAGCCUCUAUUGGAGAUCCAAGAGAAAACAGCCGAACGAUUUGUGGACCACUCAAGUCGCUCUGACGACCAGUCUGGUCCCUCUGGAGAAAAAGUCACGACCCAGAAAAGUGCCAGCCCUUUAGGAGGCGCAUUAGGAGAGGAGGCAGAAAAAAGACCUGCCCGAGCCACAAGAUCCCAGCAGCGGAAACAAGUUUCGUGGCGGCAGUAACAGA